UACACAUCUCAGCGUGCUAACAACACUCAGAGGUCACAGUUGAUGUAGUACAUCACAUCUUAAACACAUGUAGAAUUUUUAUGCACCAGCUAAAAAGGUUGAUUAUCCAGACAAGCUGCACUGUGAAGAGCCACCUGAUCACUUCAGUAUGUGUUAUGCAG